rnacentral:rRNA from 1 species
AGUGAACGCUGGCGGUAGGCCUAACACAUGCAAGUCGAACGGCAGCACAGUAAGAGCUUGCUCUUACGGGUGGCGAGUGGCGGACGGGUGAGGAAUACAUCGGAAUCUACUUUUUCGUGGGGGAUAACGUAGGGAAACUUACGCUAAUACCGCAUACGACCUACGGGUGAAAGCAGGGGAUCUUCGGACCUUGCGCGAUUGAAUGAGCCGAUGUCGGAUUAGCUAGUUGGCGGGGUAAAGGCCCACCAAGGUGACGAUCCGUAGCUGGUCUGAGAGGAUGAUCAGCCACGCUGGAACUGAGACACGGUCCAGACUCCUACGGGAGGCAGCAGUGGGGAAUAUUGGACAAUUGGCGCAAGCCUGAUCCAGCCAUACCGCGUGGGUGAAGAAGGCCUUCGGGUUGUAAAGCCCUUUUGUUGGGAAAGAAAAGCAGCAGGUUAAUACCCCGCUGUUCUGACGGUACCCAAAGAAUAAGCACCGGCUAACUUCGUG